rnacentral:snoRNA from 14 species
UGGCAGCGUUGUUUGAGAGUUUACUCCCGUGAGGAAGCAUCUAUUUAUCGCUGCGAGAUAAAAUAUGUCCUUUAUUCCCGCUCCUGAAUUUUGUUUCUUGCGCGAUGAUGCGGCCAUGACAAUU